rnacentral:rRNA from 1 species
AACCCAGCACCUCAAGUGGUCAGGAUGAUUAUUGGGCCUAAAGCAUCCGUAGCCGGCUCUGUAAGUUUUCGGUUAAAUCUGUACGCUCCACGUACAGGCUGCCGGGAAUACUGCAGAGCUAGGGAGUGGGAGAGGUAGACGGUACUCGGGAGGAAGUGGUAAAAUGCUUUGAUCUUUCGAUGACCACCUGUGGCGAAGGCGGUCUACCAGAACACGUCCGACGGUGAGGGAUGAAAGCUGGGGGAGCAAACCGGAUUAGAGACCCGAGUAGUCC